rnacentral:piRNA from 1 species
UCCUUAAUCAUAGAUUCAGCCUUCCA